rnacentral:rRNA from 1 species
GGCUGGAUCAUUAUCGAGCUUACUAAUAAACGAAAUGCUAGGACUUCGGUCUUAGUAGCGGGAGGCCCUAUGCACGGUGCAUUUGUUGGAUGCAUGKCAGUGCCCCGCAGUGUCAAACGGCUCAGCUGGUGUCUGCCCUUAGCCUAGCGACUGUUGCCUAUGCCGUGGUCGUGUUGAUGGCUUUGGGGACGCGCAUACGUCCUGCUAGUCCAGGGUAGCGGAUGCGAAGACUCAAUGAGUGGUGUGUCCUAUCCACCGCCAGCACCCCCUUUUUUUCAACGAAUUUUUCUAAUAACAUAAGAGUAUCAGCCUUACCGGUGGAUCACUCGGUUCGUGGAUCGAUGAAGAACGCAGCAAAAUGCGAUAAUUAGCGUGAAUUGCAGACGCUUUGAACGCCAAAUUUUCGAACGCACAUUGCGCCAUAGGAGUCUUACCCUAUGGCACGUCUGGUUGAGGGUCGUGAUCAAACACAGCAUGCCUUGAGCUGUAAUAGAGCUAAUUGGCGAAUCAUCAGACCGGCAUCCGCCUUAUUGUCGGUGGUGUUUUGUCAUAAUGCUUUAGAGGGUACGCCUGUAUAGGGUACUUCCUUACCACACGGAUGGGCAGCCGAGUCGACAGACUUUAGGUCCGGCCUCCGGGUAUUGUACAAACGUCUAACGUAUAUACUCGGUAGGCUGAGUGGCCGUCGCUUUGCUUAACCUAUACGUGCUUGGUAGUAGAUUCCGUUAUGAACGGAUUUCCCGACCUCAACUCA